CCCCAGCUUAUUUUAUAAAUAACAAAGUUGAAUAAUGAUACCCAGUCAUCCCGCCGCAUUUUUGCGCCUGUUCCAAGUCAGGAGUCUCUGGCCUUUGUUAGUUUUGUAUUAUUUUAUUUUUAGUUUCUUGUGUACAAUAAAUUAUUUGGAAAUUAGUAUGGCGUUCAUUAUCACUAGUAUAUAUUUGUUUAGGGGCCAGCUGAAGGACGCCUCCGGGUGCGGGAAUUUCUCGCUACAUUGAAGACCACUGAGUUCUGUUCG
rnacentral:lncRNA from 1 species